rnacentral:rRNA from 1 species
UACGGGAGGCAGCAGUGGGGAAUAUUGCACAAUGGGCGCAAGCCUGAUGCAGCCAUGCCGCGUGUAUGAAGAAGGCCUUCGGGUUGUAAAGUACUUUCAGUCGUGAGGAAGGUGUUAAGGUUAAUAACCUUAGCAAUUGACGUUAGCGACAGAAGAAGCACCGGCUAACUCCGUGCCAGCAGCCGCGGUAAUACGGAGGGUGCGAGCGUUAAUCGGAAUUACUGGGCGUAAAGGGCACGCAGGCGGUUAAUUAAGUUGGAUGUGAAAUCCCCGGGCUUAACCUGGGAAUGGCAUUCAAGACUGGUUAGCUAGAGUCUUGUAGAGGAGGGUAGAAUUCCAUGUGUAGCGGUGAAAUGCGUAGAGAUGUGGAGGAAUACCGGUGGCGAAGGCGGCCCCUGGGACAAAGACUGACGCUCAUGUGCGAAAGCGUGGGGAGCAAACAGGGAUUAGGAUACC